rnacentral:lncRNA from 1 species
AAUGUUAUUUGGUUAAACUUUAAAACAUGAGAGCGUUUAGAUGUAUAGAUGAUUUUUUCUUAACAAAUGUUGAGAUGGAUAGACAAGGAGAAGGAUUAAACGAGUCUAAAAUAAGUUUUAGAAGGGAAUUGGUUGAGACUUAUGGUAGAUACGAAAUAAACAAGCAGAAUAGUGGUAGUAGACAAGGUGAAUGAUGUGAGUAAGCAAACAAGUUUGAGGAAGAGUGUGUAUUAUGAUGAUGAAGCAUUAUAUAAAGGAUGCAAGUAGACAUUAGGAGCAUUAGACUAUAGGCACGUGUAGUAGAUGACUGAUGAAAUAGAGUUGUUUAGUGAGUAGAUAAUAAGAGUAUACGACUCAGUAAGACUAAUACAGCUAGUAUACAACCAAGAAGGGAUCAAACAAAUAAGGGUUCUUCUCCCUACACCUCCAAGCCUUUUCCCCACACCUCCAAAUUUUGAAAUAAUACCAAGGGUGCCCUUAUGACACAACUAACACAGGUAAAACGUUUUUACUUAGGUAAAAGUUUUUCUCUCUCAUUUUAAAUUCACCACAACCACCCAUAAAACAUAUAUUUACUCCUCUUCAAAAAAUUUGAAACCCUAGAGUUGUUGCACCCUUUCCCCUCCAACAUUGCUCCCCAACCAGUU